UACGAAGGGGGCUAGCGUUGCUCGGAAUCACUGGGCGUAAAGCGCACGUAGGCGGAUUGUUAAGUCAGGGGUGAAAUCCUGGAGCUCAACUCCAGAACUGCCUUUGAUACUGGGAAGCUUGAGUCCGGGAGAGGUGAGUGGAACUCCGAGUGUAGAGGUGAAAUUCGUAGAUAUCUGGAGGAACACCGGUGGCGAAGGCGGCAUCCUGGACCGGUAUUGACGCUGAGGCGCGAAGGCCAGGGAAGCAAACGGG
rnacentral:rRNA from 1 species